AGAGUUUGAUCCUGGCUCAGGAUGAACGCUGGCGGCGUGCCUAAUACAUGCAAGUCGAACGGAGGGCAGCAAUGCUCUUAGUGGCGAACGGGUGAGUAACGCGUUGGUAACCUGCCCCGGAGUGAGGGAUACCAGGCCGAAAGGCUUGCUAAUACCGCAUGGGCAACCAGGGAAUAGCAGCUUGGUUGCAAAGCAGUAAUGCGCUCUGGGAGGGGCCUGCGACCCAUCAGCUAGUUGGUAAGGUAACGGCCUACCAAGGCGAUGACGGGUAGGGGACCUGAGAGGGUGACCCCCCACAAUGGAACUGAAACACGGUCCAUACACCUACGGGUGGCAGCAGUAGGGAAUAUUGCAUAAUGGGCGCAAGCCUGAUGCAGCAACGCCGCGUGUGCGAUGAAGGCCUUCGGGUUGUAAAGCACUUUUAGCAGGGAAGAGGAAGGACGGUACCUGCUGAAGAAGCCUCGGCUAACUACGUGCCAGCAGCCGCGGUAAAACGUAGGAGGCGAGCGUUAUCCGGAUUUACUGGGUGUAAAGCGCGUGCAGGCGGUCUACUAAGUUGGAUGUGAAAGCUCCUGGCUCAACUGGGAGAGGUCGUUCAAGACUGGUAAACUGGAGAGCAGUAAGGGAAGGUGGAAUUCCGGGUGUAGUGGUGAAAUGCGUAGAUAUCCGGAGGAACACCAGUGGCGAAAGCGGCCUUCUGGACUGUAUCUGACGCUCAGACGCGAAAGCUAGGGGAGCAAACGGGAUUAGAGACCCCGGUAGUCCUAGCUGUAAACGAUGUGAACUUGGCGCUGGUUGGG
rnacentral:rRNA from 1 species